GCCUACGACCAUAUCACCCUGAAUGCGCCCGAUCUCGUCUGAUCUCGGAAGCUAAGCAUGGUCGAGCCUGGUUAGUACUUGGAUGGGAUACUGCCUGGGAAUACCAGGUGUUGUAGGAU
rnacentral:rRNA from 1 species